ACUUAAAUAGCUUAAGAUAGAGCAUGAUAUUGAAGAUAUUAAGGUAAUAGAAUUAUUUUUAAGUA
rnacentral:tRNA from 1 species